AGCAGCCGCGGUAAUUCCAGCUCCAAUAGCGUAUAUUAAAGUUGUUGCAGUUAAAAAGCUCGUAGUUGAAUUUCGGGAUCAAUUUGCUGGUCGUGCCUCUGGUACGUACUGGUAUUAUUGGUUUCUCCCUUCUGACGAACCAUGACGUCAUUAAUUUGAUGUCGUGGAGAAUCAGGACUGUUACUUUGAAAAAUUAGAGUGUUUAAAGCAGGCAUUAGCUUGAAUACAUUAGCAUGGAAUAAUGAAAUAGGACGUUUGAUCCUAUUUUGUUGGUUUCUAGGAUUGACGUAAUGAUUAAUAGGGAUAGUUGGGGGCAUUAGUAUUCAAUUGUCAGAGGUGAAAUUCUUGGAUUUAUUGAAGACUAACUACUGCGAAAGCAUUUGCCAAGGAUGUUUUCAUUAAUCAAGAACGAAAGUUAGGGGAUCGGAAGACGAUCAGAUACCGUCGUAG
rnacentral:rRNA from 1 species